AACAAGGAUUCCCCUAGUAACGGCGAGUGAAGCGGGAAGAGCUCAAAUUUGAAAUCUGGCAGUCUUCGAUUGUCCGAGUUGUAAUCUAUAGAGGCGUUUUCCGUGCCGGACCGUGUCCAAGUCUCCUGGAAAGGAGUAUCAAAGAGGGUGAUAAUCCCGUACUUAACACGACCACCGGUGCUCUGUGAUACGUCUUCUACGAGUCGAGUUGUUUGGGAAUGCAGCUCAAAAUGGGUGGUGAAUUCCAUCUAAAGCUAAAUAUUGGCGAGAGACCGAUAGCGAACAAGUACCGUGAGGGAAAGAUGAAAAGCACUUUGGAAAGAGAGUUAAACAGUACGUGAAAUUGUUGAAAGGGAAACGAUUGAAGUCAGUCGUGUUCAUUGGAUUCAGCCAGUUCUGCUGGUCUACUUCCUUUGAACGGGUCAACAUCAGUUUUGUCCGGUGGAUAAAGGCAGUAGGAAUGUAGCUUCUCCGGAAGUGUUAUAGCCUAUUGUCACAUACACUGGGUGAGACUGAG
rnacentral:rRNA from 1 species